rfam:Basidiobolus meristosporus CBS 931.73 K493scaffold_799, whole genome shotgun sequence.
GCACGUAUAAUUUAAUGGUAGAAUAGCAGUUUGUGGUACGGUAAGAAUAGGUUCAAAUCCCAUUAUUUGCC